rnacentral:lncRNA from 1 species
UCCUUAAGGUUACAGGUGAAGCUGACUUCCUGCGGUAGCCCCUUGGACCUUAGCCUCUUAAGGGUUGGGUUCUAGUGGCGGGCUCUUGGGUCGUCCGGACCCAUAUCUGGUAAAAGUGGUGGCCUGGUUGUCCCCACACCCCCUUAUCAUGCGUGUCUGUGGGAGCAGUUUGUGCUAGCGUUUUGGCGCUCGCCUUAUGGUUCUCAGUCCUCUUUCGCCGAGAUGCCCUUUAAAAAGAUUUUUUCCCGCAUCGGAACAAGACCCACUAUACUAGAUUUAGCCAAUUCGGGUGCGGAUGGGGAUUCCCCAAUAGAUUCUACAGAUUCGGAUUUGGAUGCCCCUGCGCAUAAACAUAUGGAUAGGGAUGCCGAUUCAGAUGCGGCUAGAAAGGCUCGUUUGAGUGAUUCAUAAACCCUAGUCGGGAUAAACAAGCAAGGGUUUCAUCCUCUACUUAUGGGAAUGCUACUUCGAGAAAUGCUGCUUCAGGAUAAACUAGAUAUGUUGCGAGAGAAACUGGAUAUUUUCCUAUGGCUUGGACCCUUUCACUCGAGAACUCAAAGGGGGGAAAGAAUUCUUCAACAUAGUCACAAGAAGGUGGUCUACGACCAUUAGA